GACGAACGCUGGCGGCGUGCUUAACACAUGCAAGUCGAACGGAAAGGCCCUGCUUUUGUGGGGUGCUCGAGUGGCGAACGGGUGAGUAACACGUGAGUAACCUGCCCCUGACUUUGGGAUAACUUCAGGAAACUUGGGCUAAUACCGGAUAGGAGCUCCUGCUGCAUGGUGGGGGUUGGAAAGUUUCGGCGGUUGGGGAUGGACUCGCGGCUUAUCAGCUUGUUGGGGGGGUAGUGGCUUACCAAGGCUUUGACGGGUAGCCGGCCUGAGAGGGUGACCGGCCACAUUGGGACUGAGAUGCGGCCCAGACUCCUACGGGAGGCAGCAGUGGGGAAUAUUGCACAAUGGGCGGAAGCCUGAUGCAGCAACGCCGCGUGCGGGAUGACGGGCAUCGGGUUGUAAACCGCUUUCGCCUGUGACGAAGCGUGAGUGACGGUAAUGGGUAAAGAAGCACCGGCUAACUACGUG
rnacentral:rRNA from 1 species